CUGAGACCGAUGCGCGAUUCCCGCCCUCCCGUCCACGCGGCAGCCCUCGCGGGUUGUCGUCGUGUGGCGGGGCCAAAGGACGGCGCGCUCCGCUUUGGUGACUCUGGAUAACUCACUGGUCGAUCGCACGGGCUUCCACGCCCGGCGACGGGUCCCUCGAGGGUCCGCCCUAUCAACUC
rnacentral:rRNA from 1 species